rnacentral:rRNA from 1 species
CGGCCUCAUGCACUCUUGGUGGGGGUGACGGCCCACCAAGGCGACGACGGGUAGCCGGCCUGAGAGGGCGACCGGCCACACUGGGACUGAGACACGGCCCAGACUCCUACGGGAGGCAGCAGUGGGGAAUAUUGCACAAUGGGCGCAAGCCUGAUGCAGCGACGCCGCGUGCGGGAUGAAGGCCUUCGGGUUGUAAACCGCUUUCAGCAGGGGCGAAUCUUGACGGUACCUGCAGAAGAAGCGCCGGCUAACUACGUGCCAGCAGCCGCGGUAA